AGAUGUAUUAACUCGUAAAGCAGCUGUGAUCAUUAUCGGUGAUAGAAAUUCACAUUUAACAAUCUGUAACUAAUUCGAGUCACGAUUAGGUCACUAGUGACGCUGCUGAAGAAUUGACACGAAGUCACAAAUAAGUUGCGAACGCAAAUAUAGGAGGAAUAGAAGAGGAAUAAAUACUAAACGUAAGUUAUGCGCUCUGAAUUGUAUAUAGCAUAUGCUUAUAACAUAUCAUUGUCAUCCUAGGAAGUUUUUAUUAUUCAUUGUGAAUAAAUAAUUAUUCGGAAAUCAUUUGAUCCUCUCAUUGCGAAGCAACAAUUUGA